CAAAAGCAACACCAUUGGAAGUUACCCUCACCCCACGGCUACCUCCUACAGUGUUUGUGUAAACACAAUGUCCUACAAGUGCUACAUGCUCCGCUGAAGCUACCAAGGCUAGCUGUAUUUCCACACCAAAUGUACAAGUUACUAUUAUGCAGAACUGAAGCAGCAAUAAAUGUAGUAUUGCUUUGUUAUUAAAAACAUGAAAUGUUAUAUAACACUGUAUGUGAUAAUGCAUGUAUCGUACUUCAAUUUAUAAAAUUAUAAUAUUAAAAUAUAUCGUUUAAAUAUUAUAAUAUUAAAAUGUAUCUCUAAUUUUAUAACUGAUGGAGUAUUUAUUUUCAGAAUGAUGAUGGAGUAUUUAUUUUCAGAAUGACCAUUGAGCCGCUUUCACAAUUUCAAUUCAUAACUUAUGUUUUCCAUUUCUCUUGAAUUACACUCCAAUAAGUAGUACCUUAGCUAAUAUAAUAUGCAUAUAUUCUAUAUGUAAAGGGAGGAAGAACUCUUUUUCAAAUUCUUAGAAAUGUGUAUGCUGCCGCAUGAUCUUGUACCGGCAAGGUAAGGAUGAGGGGGCAAUUUGGACAUUAGCGUACCACUCCAAGCAUGUUGCUGCUGCAUAAUCCCAUUCUCAUCAAUUGGAGUUUGAAAUACAUCAAAACAUGUUUAUGUUCAUUGAUUUGAGAAAGAAGAACAAUCUUUAUUGCUGAAGUCAGACUUCAUCAGGAUCACCUACAAAUGCUGUAUACCACCCCCCGCCCAACCUCGCCCAACCCCACCUGCUAUCUUCAAUGAUCGUGUAUUAUUAAGUAGAAAAACAAUAUCACCUACAAGUGCUACAUGCUCUAUCUCCUACAAGUGCUGCAUGCUCUCGUUAAUAUACCAAGGCUGUAUGUCUGUAUCAAACAUACAAGCGACUAUUAUGCAGCGCUUAAGCAGCAAUAAAUGUAUUCUUCCUAAAUUAUUCAAAAAUCUAAACCUACAAUUGUGCAUAGCACUACGAGAUAGUGUGUGGGUUAUACUUAAAAAGAAAAAAUCCUGAGACAAGUUAGACUUAAAAAAAAAUUAUUUCCCCUCCUCCCAGGUAAAAUAUCACUCUAUUUGCAAAACAUUUUGUAGUUCUGAACAAUUGAUAGCAAAAAAAUAUGGUUCUAUUUGCAAGAAAUAUAGGACAUACCUCGACUGAAAAGUCUUGUAUGAAAGAUUAGUGAUUAUCUAUGUUAAUCCAUCUGCAAUUGAAGUUUGCAAACAAUACUUGGAAUCAAAAAUAGUAAGAUCUGAGAUUAUUCACUAAUCCAUAACAGUAUAAUGCACCAGAAUUCUUUGCACUAAAAAGCAUUAACUAUAGGAACAAAAGAACCAAGGAUACAGAACAGCCCUUUGAGUACCUCUUAUCGUAUAACCGAAUUGAGGUCAAUUGCUGCAGGUUCCUCAUCACCAGAAAGCUAUAACUCCAGGAAACCUAUAUUCAUGGAAGAAUCCAGAUAUAAAUAAAAGCCAAAAAACUCGAAUUACUAAAUAAAUAUAGGAAAUUAAACUGCAUUCUGGAAUAAUUAUGAAUUAAAAAUUCAGGAAUAGAUAACAUUUCGGGUAUUGCCAAUACAGUUUUCCUCAGAAGAGACUGAAAUGCUUAAUAAGAAACUUUUAAUGGAAGAACUGUAAGCCACAAAGAGGCUAAUAUACCUGUAACAUAACAUUACUGAAUGUCAUAACUGCACCAUAAAAUCUCUCUAAUACAGAAAGAGUAUGUUUAAUAAACUCAAAUUAGAACACCUACAAAGUAUAGAAUAUGUAACUGCCCUCGCCAACAAAUAAUGAGUAAAAAUAAGGAAGAAGCUUAGACACACAGUACACAGUGUAUUUAUCAAGAGUCAACCUAAUUACUAGAACCUCUUUCAAAUUUACAAGCACACUGUAAAAAUUGAAAACUUGAGCAUUAUCUGUCAUUUGGCUUGUUGUUGGAGUAAGAACACUUCUGAAAAUCACAAGCUUUUCUGGAAACCAAAGUCUAUAAUGGACCUUCCAGUUGAUUAAACUUCCACCAUUCCUUCAAUCAAAGAGACGCAAAUGCUUUUGUCAGGAGUUUUGCCUGCACAAACAUCUAUCUGAGAAGUUCUUCAAAUUGAUAUAUCUCUGGUUUUUGCAUGAGCUUGGUACAAGAGUAUUGUGUGCAAGGAGGGUGUAGUAACUGAAGCAUGACUCAUGAGUUCUUCCCUAAAAAGUCACACCCUUUAGAGAAGCACUUUGGACACCUUCAGAGUACACAGUAGAUAGAAGGACAAAAAGAGAUGUCAGAUAAAUGACUGAUACUGAAGGAGCAGUUUGUACAAUCUUACAGACAGCACAUCCGGAGCCAACUUCCAUGAUAUUCCUUAAAUCCCCUUCAUUUUUUAGAUUGAUGACCACAAGAUUUCCAAGAAUGCUGGGUCUGACCUGCAACUAUCUACAACAAAU
rnacentral:lncRNA from 1 species